rnacentral:rRNA from 1 species
CGAGUGGCGGACGGGUGAGUAAUGUCUGGGAAACUGCCUGAUGGAGGGGGGAGUAACUACUGGAAACGGUAGCUAAUACCGCAUAACGUCGCAAGACCAAAGAGGGGGACCUUCGGGCCUCUUGCCAUCGGAUGUGCCCAGAUGGGAUUAGCUAGUAGGUGGGGUAACGGCUCACCUAGGCGACGAUCCCUAGCUGGUCUGAGAGGAUGACCAGCCACACCGGAACUGAGACACGGUCCAGACUCCUACGGGAGGCAGCAUG